rnacentral:rRNA from 1 species
AAAAAAGGUAAGCUACUAAGAGCGAAUGGUGGAUGCCUUGACUGGUAAAGGCGAUGAAGGACGUACUAGACUGCGAUAAGCUACGGGGAGCUGUCAAGAAGCUUUGAUCCGUAGAUUUCCGAAUGGGGCAACCCAAUGUAUAGAGAUAUACAUUACCUAUAUAGGAGCGAACGAGGGGAAUUGAAACAUCUUAGUACCCUCAGGAAAAGAAAUCAAUAGAGAUUGCGUCAGUAGCGGCGAGCGAAAGCGCAAGAGGGCAAACCCAGUGCUUGCACUGGGGGUUGUAGGACUGCAAUGUGCAAGAGGUGAGUUUAGCAGAACAUUCUGGAAAGUAUAGCCAUAGAGGGUGAUAGUCCCGUAUGCGAAAAACAAACCUUAGCUAGCAGUAUCCUGAGUAGGGCGGGACACGAGAAAUCCUGUCUGAAGCUGGGUCGACCACGAUCCAACCCUAAAUACUAAUACCAGAUCGAUAGUGCACAAGUACCGUGAGGGAAAGGUGAAAAGAACUGAGGUGAUCAGAGUGAAAUAGAACCUGAAACCAUUUGCUUACAAUCAUUCAGAGCCCUAUGUAGCAAUACAGGGUGAUGGACUGCCUUUUGCAUAAUGAGCCUGCGAGUUGUGGUGUCUGGCAAGGUUAAGCAAACGCGAAGCCGUAGCGAAAGCGAGUCUGAAUAGGGCGCUUAGUCAGAUGCUGCAGACCCGAAACGAAGUGAUCUAUCCAUGAGCAAGUUGAAGCUAGUGUAAGAACUAGUGGAGGACUGAACCCAUAGGCGUUGAAAAGCCCCGGGAUGACUUGUGGAUAGGGGUGAAAGGCCAAUCAAACUUCGUGAUAGCUGGUUCUCUCCGAAAUAUAUUUAGGUAUAGCGUUGUGUCGUAAUAUAAGGGGGUAGAGCACUGAAUGGGCUAGGGCAUACACCAAUGUACCAAACCCUAUCAAACUCCGAAUACCUUAUAUGUAAUCACAGCAGUCAGGCGGCGAGUGAUAAAAUCCGUCGUCAAGAGGGAAACAACCCAGACUACCAGCUAAGGUCCCUAAAUCUUACUUAAGUGGAAAACGAUGUGAAGUUACUUAAACAACCAGGAGGUUGGCUUAGAAGCAGCCAUCCUUUAAAGAAAGCGUAAUAGCUCACUGGUCUAGUGAUUUUGCGCGGAAAAUAUAACGGGGCUAAAGUAAGUACCGAAGCUGUAGACUUGCACACAACUUAGAUUAUUUAAGUUUAGAAUAUGAGAAACUAAGUUAUAUGUUUAGUUAUAUUUUUACUGAUUUUUAUAGAGUAAAGAUAGAAAUAAAACUUAGUAAAAUCAGUAAAAAUAUUCUUAGACUAAAGUUAAGUAGUUUAAGUUGUGUGCAAGUGGUAGGAGAGCGUUCUAUUUGCGUCGAAGGUAUACCGGUAAGGAGUGCUGGAGCGAAUAGAAGUGAGCAUGCAGGCAUGAGUAGCGAUAAUUAAUGUGAGAAUCAUUAACGCCGUAAACCCAAGGUUUCCUACGCGAUGCUCGUCAUCGUAGGGUUAGUCGGGUCCUAAGUCGAGUCCGAAAGGGGUAGACGAUGGCAAAUUGGUUAAUAUUCCAAUACCAACAUUAGUGUGCGAUGGAAGGACGCUUAGGGCUAAGGGGGCUAGCGGAUGGAAGUGCUAGUCUAAGGUCGUAGGAGGUUGUACAGGCAAAUCCGUAUAACAAUACUCCGAGAACUGAAAGGCUUUUUGAAGUCUUCGGAUGGAUAGAAGAACCCCUGAUGCCGUCGAGCCAAGAAAAGUUUCUAAGUUUAGCUAAUGUUGCCCGUACCGUAAACCGACACAGGUGGGUGGGAUGAGUAUUCUAAGGCGCGUGGAAGAACUCUCUUUAAGGAACUCUGCAAAAUAGCACCGUAUCUUCGGUAUAAGGUGUGGUUCGCUUCGUAUUAGGAUUUACUCCGAAAGCGAAGAAACUUACAACAAAGAGUCCCUCCCGACUGUUUACCAAAAACACAGCACUCUGCUAACUCGUAAGAGGAUGUAUAGGGUGUGACGCCUGCCCGGUGCUCGAAGGUUAAUUGAUGGGGUUAGCAUUAGCGAAGCUCUUGAUCGAAGCCCGAGUAAACGGCGGCCGUAACUAUAACGGUCCUAAGGUAGCGAAAUUCCUUGUCGGUUAAAUACCGACCUGCAUGAAUGGCGUAACGAGAUGGGAGCUGUCUCAAAGAGGGAUCCAGUGAAAUUGUAGUGGAGGUGAAAAUUCCUCCUACCCGCGGCAAGACGGAAAGACCCCGUGGACCUUUACUACAGCUUGACACUGCUAUUUGGAUAAGAAUGUGCAGGAUAGGUGGGAGGCUUUGAGUAUAUGACGCCAGUUGUAUAUGAGCCAUUGUUGAGAUACCACUCUUUCUUAUUUGGGUAGCUAACCAGCUUGAGUUAUCCUCAAGUGGGACAAUGUCUGGUGGGUAGUUUGACUGGGGCGGUCGCCUCCCAAAUAAUAACGGAGGCUUACAAAGGUUGGCUCAGAACGGUUGGAAAUCGUUCGUAGAGUAUAAAGGUAUAAGCCAGCUUAACUGCAAGACAUACAAGUCAAGCAGAGACGAAAGUCGGUCUUAGUGAUCCGGUGGUUCUGUGUGGAAGGGCCAUCGCUCAAAGGAUAAAAGGUACCCCGGGGAUAACAGGCUGAUCUCCCCCAAGAGCUCACAUCGACGGGGAGGUUUGGCACCUCGAUGUCGGCUCAUCGCAUCCUGGGGCUGGAGCAGGUCCCAAGGGUAUGGCUGUUCGCCAUUUAAAGCGGUACGCGAGCUGGGUUCAGAACGUCGUGAGACAGUUCGGUCCCUAUCUGCCGUGGGCGUAAGAAGAUUGAAGAGAUUUGACCCUAGUACGAGAGGACCGGGUUGAACAAACCACUGGUGUAGCUGUUGUUCUGCCAAGAGCAUCGCAGCGUAGCUAAGUUUGGAAAGGAUAAACGCUGAAAGCAUCUAAGCGUGAAGCCAACUCUAAGAUGAAUCUUCUCUAAGCUCUCUAGAAGACUACUAGUUUGAUAGGCUGGGUGUGUAAUGGAUGAAAGUCCUUUAGCUGACCAGUACUAAUAGAGCGUUUGGCUUAUCUUUAAUAAAGCAU